CUCAAUAUUUAUUCCUGAUGUAUCAUGACAUUCCAUUUCAAAAAAGAACAAUUUUGUGAGAGAAGAAUUUGAACAAAGUAUCCAAUUUUCAUAAUAAAAUAUAGAAACAUUUGAAUGAGUAAGCAAAUACCAGGAGGCGUGCGCGUGUUCGUUUUAAACGCGUUUGGCGACCACGUUCGUGCUUCCACUCGUUCCACGUAGACACAGAGAAGCCACGGGUCGAACAUUGGUCGAGGUCCUAAAGCUGGAACGCGAACACGUUAGCUCUGGACGACCGUAAUAACUGCAAAACGAGAUCGUGGGCAACCAUUACGCCAAAAUUGCCUGCAAACAUUUAAUAUCGACACGGCUUGGCGCGGCAAAAGCGUAUCAGGCACACGAAAAUUGACGAUACCAGGAGAAACGGUGACAGGAUCGACCAGCACCAUCGGCAGAUUGUUCGCGUUUCACCGCGGCCACCGCAGCGUGCUCUAUGCGAAAGGCUGUAUACAAUUCCCGAUGCAUAUAUGAUACCACGAGGAGCAGAUACAAGGGAUGAUCGACUGAUUGGACAGACCAGCCUGAGCGUGUUUGGUCCGACGAGGACACAGCAACGGUCAAAGCACGGCCCGGAAUCCGGUCCACUCGGCCCGUUCGCAACGGACGAUGGAUUCGUCGGUACAUGAAGAUGCGCCACGAAAGCCCUGGCGGUCUACUCGUUACAAGGCCCGUGCGUGUGCGCCAGCCUGAUGCAUCCGUUUCGUCGAAAUUGAAAUGCCCAGGAAGGCGAACCGCUCCUCCAGGUUGCGAUCACCCGGUUGAUCGUUUCGGAGAAGACACGAUGUUGCUACAGCGGCUGCUUCAAAAGUAGGGCUGCGUUAGUUCGCGUCAUAAACAUACCUCAGGAUAGCGUCAUACUAUGUCAAACUGGACACUUCUUACAGUAACAUCCUCAAUUUGGCUGAAUCUUUUAUGCAUUGUGAUAUUAGAUAUUUUUAAACAAGUUCCGAUGGAUUACUCUUAAUUUAAAGAAUUGUUUUUACAAUGAUGUUAUCUCAGUACCAUGUGUAAUAAAGUCAUCUCUAUGUGGAGUGGUUCCAUGAGAUUAGGUACAGUGCUUUACUUGUUGAGGCAACACCAAAUAGAUUAGGUACUUUUGGGAGAAACACUUGAGAUUUGAUUAAAAGAACAUAUAGAAGUCUCUAGCUAUAUUUAAAGAGUCUGAAAGAAUUACUCAUAAUUGAAAAAAUUGUUUAUUUUAUGAUGUUUGUCAAUGACG